rnacentral:piRNA from 1 species
UGUGUGGGACCAAGGCUACAGGCAAG